UACGGAGGGUGCAAGCGUUGUUCGGAAUCAUUGGGCGUAAAGCGCGUGUAGGCGGCUUGGCAAGUCAGUUGUGAAAGCCCGGGGCCCAACCCCGGAAUUGCAUCUGAAACUGCCUGGCUAGAGUCCCGGAGAGGAAGGCAGAAUUCCCGGUGUAGGGGUGAAAUCCGUAGAUAUCGGGAGGAAUACCAGCGGCGAAGGCGGCCUUCUGGACGGUGACUGACGCUGAGACGCGAAAGCGUGGGGAGCGAACAGG
rnacentral:rRNA from 1 species